UACAGAGGGUGCGAGCGUUGUUCGGAAUUACUGGGCGUAAAGCGCGCGCAGGCGGCUUCUUAAGUCUGACGGUGAAAUGCCGGGGCUCAACCCCGUGCCCGCCGCGGAUACUGGGGAGCUGGAGACAUGUAGAGGCAAGCGGAAUUCCGGGUGUAGCGGUGGAAUGCGUAGAGAUCCGGAAGAACACCGGAGGCGAAGGCGGCUUGCUGGGCAUGGUCUGACGCUGAGGCGCGAAAGCGUGGGGAGCGAACAGGA
rnacentral:rRNA from 1 species